rnacentral:rRNA from 1 species
CCUACGUGAGGCAGCAGUGAGGAAUAUUGGUCAAUGGACGAGAGUCUGAACCAGCCAAGUAGCGUGAAGGAUGACUGCCCUAUGGGUUGUAAACUUCUUUUAUCAAGGAAUAAAACGCGGCACGUGUGCCUUUUUGCAUGUACUUUAUGAAUAAGGAUCGGCUAACUCCGUGCCAGCAGCCGCGGUAAUACGGAGGAUCCGAGCGUUAUCCGGAUUUAUUGGGUUUAAAGGGAGCGUAGAGGGGAUGUGAAGUCAGCGGUAAAAUUUCGGGGCUCAACCCCGUCGUGCCGUUGAAACUGGCGUUCUUGAGUGAGCGAGAAGUAUGCGGAAUGCGUGGUGUAGCGGUGAAAUGCAUAGAUAUCACGCAGAACUCCGAUUGCGAAGGCAGCAUACCGGCGCUCAACUGACGCUCAUGCACGAAAGCGUGGGUAUCGAACAGGAUUAGAUACCCGAGUAGUC